UAGGGAAUAUUGCACAAUGGGGGAAACCCUGAUGCAGCGACGCCGCGUGAAGGAAGAAGUAUCUCGGUAUGUAAACUUCUAUCAGCAGGGAAGACAAUGACGGUACCUGACUAAGAAGCCCCGGCUAACUACGUGCCAGCAGCCGCGGUAAUACGUAGGGGGCAAGCGUUAUCCGGAUUUACUGGGUGUAAAGGGAGCGCAGGCGGUCUUGCAAGUCUGAUGUGAAAGCCCGCGGCUCAACUGCGGGACUGCAUUGGAAACUGUGGGACUUGAGUGUCGGAGGGGUAAGCGGAAUUCCUAGUGUAGCGGUGAAAUGCGUAGAUAUUAGGAGGAACACCAGUGGCGAAGGCGGCCUGCUGGACUGUAACUGACGUUGAGGCUCGAAAGCGUGGGGAGCAAACAGGAUUAGAUACC
rnacentral:rRNA from 1 species